rnacentral:rRNA from 1 species
UGCGCAGGCGGUGUGCUAAGUCGGAUGUGAAAUCUCACAGCCUAACUGUGAUAGGUCAUUCGAAACUGGCAUGCUAGAGGACUGGAGAGGAGACUGGAAUGGUCGGUGUAGCGGUGAAAUGCGUAGAGAUCGACCAGAACACCGGUGGCGAAGGCGGGUCUCUGGACAGUUCCUGAGCUCAGGCACGAGGCCAGGGGAGCAAACG